AAAGUCGUAACAAGGUUUCCGUAGGUGAACCUGCGGAAGGAUCAUUACUUGACUGUAAGUCGAUUCCAGGCCUCCUCUUCGUGAGCGCAGGCCGGAAUCGCCUGACUUCUACCUUGACUACACGUACCUUUGUUGUUUCCUCGGCAGGUCUCCUGCCGACAGGAAACCCCUAUAACCCUUGAUGUACAGUAUCUAAACCUCUGACAACUACAAAAUUAUUUACAACUUUUAACAAUGGAUCUCUUGGUUCUG
rnacentral:misc_RNA from 1 species